rnacentral:lncRNA from 1 species
UGAUACUCAUUAACCUGUUUUUUUUUUCCUUGUCUAGGGUCCACCCGGUCCCACUGGCCCACAGGGUCCCAUAGGACAGCCUGGUCCCCCUGGAGCAGACGGUGAACCUGGACCCCGCGGGCAACAGGGUCUUUUUGGUCAGAAAGGAGAUGAAGGACCCAGAGGAUUCCCUGGACCCCCAGGGCCUGUUGGGCUUCAGGGACUACCUGGGCCACCAGGUGAGAAAGGUGAAACUGGAGAUGUCGGUCAACUGGUAAGAUUCAUUUUGUAUUAUAUGGAAUUUAAUUAACUUAACUAUGUUGAAGACCUACUUACCAGAUAUACGUAAUGCACAAAUUGGAUCUCUGUGAGAUGUACAUCGCUUGGGAGAAAUGCAUCUGCAAAAUGAAUAAAUGUAAAUAUAUAUUAUGCCUCUUUCAGGGUCCCCCUGGGCCCCCUGGCCCAAGAGGCCCCUCUGGACCCCCGGGAGCAGAUGGCCCACAGGGUCCCCCAGGUGGCAUUGGAAAUCCUGGACCAGUGGGAGAGAAGGGUGAAGCUGGUGAAGCAGGAGAGCCCGGUCUUCCAGGAGAUGUGGGCCCAUCGGUAGGGUGACCUCUGGCAAUCUCAUACCUUCAGCAGAUCUUUAUUUCAUUUCUC